rnacentral:rRNA from 1 species
AGUGAACGCUGGCGGCGUGCUUAACACAUGCAAGUCGAACGAGAACGGAUUAUAGCUUGCUAUAAUUGUCAGCUAAGUGGCGCACGGGUGAGUAAUGUAUAGAUAACCUGCCCUCUAGAAAGGAAUAACAGAUGGAAACGUCUGCUGAUGCCCUAUAUGCCUUUAAUACAUAAGUAUGCAAGGGAAACGCUUUAGUGCUAGAGGAUGGGUCUGUAUGGUAUCAGUUUGUUGGUGAGGUAAUGGCUCACCAAGACUAUGACGCCUAACUGGUUUGAGAGGAUGAUCAGUCACACUGGAACUGAGACACGGCCCAGACUCCUACGGGAGGCAGCAGUGGGGAAUAUUGCACAAUGGACGAAAGUCUGAUGCAGCAACGCCGCGUGGAGGAUGACACAUUUCGGUGCGUAAACUCCUUUUAUAUAGGAAGAUAAUGACGGUACUAUAUGAAUAAGCACCGGCUAACUCCGUGCCAGCCGCCGCAGUAA